UGCGUCGGCCGGGAGUCGAACCCGGGUCAACUGCUUGGAAGGCAGCUAUGCUAACCGUUAUACCACCGACGC
rnacentral:tRNA from 1 species